rnacentral:misc_RNA from 1 species
GGCAAGCCCCAGCCAGCUAGUGGCAUGAAGCGGCAAGCACCGAGCCGACUGUCGUACAUUGAGAGAGCUUUCGUUAGGGACGCGACCGCAGCGGGGCACGAGCCUGUAUCAUUUGCAACAUCCGAAACCAAUAGCGUGAGCGAGGUGGCCUUGGAAGCGCNGGGCACGUAGGGCGCCGGCACCACGAGGCAACGCCGCUCAAACUAUUAGGCCGCAGCGGAACUCCCUUGGGGGUCCACAGCGAGGCAACCGUGUA